GGGGAGGCCAAAGUAGGAGCUGUUCCAUGUCCACAUCUCUAGUAAAAGUUUGCUAGGAAGAAUGUAACAUUUGUAGAAUAAGAUUUGUAUAUGGCCUAACCACUGCCUUAUAAAUUGAGACCCGGUACUACUACCUUUUUGGGGGACUCAGAAACAGAAUUUGAUGUGAUAACAUAGCUAAGGAAGAAAUAACCAGCUCUGCCACUAGAUCGCCUGAAUUCAAAUCCCAGCUCUACCAUUUACUAACUGUGGAAUCUGGUGAGUUAUUUAACCUUGCUAAACUUUAAUAUUUUAUCUGUCAAAUCAGAGUAGUAAUAAUGCUUAUCUCUUACAAUUUGAAGAAAAGAAAAUGAUAAAAGACAUGCAAAGCACCUUGCUCAGUGUAGCGGCCAUAUAAAUCGUUAGUGAAUGUUGGCUGACAUUGGCCACAUUUCUUUAGAGACUGCAUGAUACUGGAUAAUAAGAAUGAACUACUG
rnacentral:lncRNA from 1 species